GGCUACAAUGGUCGGGACAAUGGGUUCCUACCCCGAGAGGGGACGGUAAUCUCAGAAACCCGGUCGUAGUUCGGAUUGUGGGCUGAAACUCGCCCACAUGAAGCUGGAUUCGGUAGUAAUCGCGUGUCACAAGCGCGCGGUGAAUACGUCCCUGCUCCUUGCACACACCGCCCGUCAAAGCACCCGAGUGAGGUCCGGAUGAGGCCUGGGUUGCCAGGUCGAAUCUGGGCUUCGCAAGGGGGCUUAAGUCGUAACAAGGUAGCCGUAGGGGAAUCUGCGGCUGGAUCACCUCCA
rnacentral:rRNA from 1 species